CAAAUACAUUUAAGCCCAAUACACCGACCAACUCCCACGCACGCUCGUCUCUCCUCCUUUCCCCCAACCAGACCUUAUCUGUUCUCCUCCUUUCCGCAAAUCAACCCACAUCUUUCACAGUUUCACUCGCUUCUCGCUGUUGCCAACUGUUGGCCGCCGGCCUUGCCAACUCUCGCUGCCCACCACAGCUAGGGCCCUCCAAGCCGCCACGCCGGGUGCCGGGUGUCUGCUGGUUUUGGCUGCUGGCUGCUGCCGCUUCUCCUCUCGCUGCCUUCUCCGCUCGUGCUACCUGCUGCCGUGCUGCGGACCACUGUUGCUGCCGCCGGCUCAUAAACUAAUCGGUGAACUGUUGUUGAAGCGCCGAAGGAGCAAGACUGCUGCAAGAGCAAGGUGACACUGGUGAAACAGAAAACCAUGGUCCAGGAGAGCAUAUCUGUAGUUAUUGGUUGUAGGCGUCUUUUGGUCAGUCCGGUGUAUUCCACAGUUGUGGCUAUGGAGCAUUUUUGGCCAGUUCCGUGUAUUCUACGGUUGUGGCUAUGGAGCACUGGAUAAUAGUAAUUAUCCACAAUAGCAGGAUUAAAGGUGCGCUCUAUGCUGAGAAAAACUGAAGGAAAGCUGAAAGCAUGAGCUGGGGUAAAAGAUCAAUAAUCACAGAACAAAGCAGUAAGGAAUAAGGACAUCAAUGGCCAAUGGGUCUACGGAAAAUACCAACAAUGGCAUGUUAAGAAGCCGGUAUAAUCUUGCAAGUUCCACAUAAUCAUGAAUAUGCAAUGAAAAUGGAUGCAGAACUUCAAUGUAGCAGAAACUAUCCACAAGAGAUAUGCAAAAGCAGUACCAAAACACAUUUUAUUCAAUUGAUACUGCAUAUACGCACUUUAAAGGAGACAAAGAAAUCAACUUGAUCUAUCAAAGGUCAGACCAUUUGGCAAAUAUGAAAUAAUAGGGCCUGUCAUCCAUGCUACUCCAGAUUAUGUUUGGUUGCAAGCAAGAGGUCCAUGUGUUCAGAAUCGAUCCAGGACAUAAGAUGGAUCUUUUAAGUUUCAUAUAAAAAGGUCAUCCAAAGAUUAUGCAUGUACCAAAGGACACACCUGAAAUCGG
rnacentral:rRNA from 1 species